rnacentral:rRNA from 1 species
AUUGAACGCUGGCGGCAGGCUUAACACAUGCAAGUCGAGCGGGGAAAGGUAGCUUGCUACCUGACCUAGCGGCGGACGGGUGAGUAAUGCUUAGGAAUCUGCCUAUUAGUGGGGGACAACAUCUCGAAAGGGAUGCUAAUACCGCAUACGUCCUACGGGAGAAAGCAGGGGACCUUCGGGCCUUGCGCUAAUAGAUGAGCCUAAGUCGGAUUAGCUAGUUGGUGGGGUAAAGGCCUACCAAGGCGACGAUCUGUAGCGGGUCUGAGAGGAUGAUCCGCCACACUGGGACUGAGACACGGCCCAGACUCCUACGGGAGGCAGCAGUGGGGAAUAUUGGACAAUGGGGGGAACCCUGAUCCAGCCAUGCCGCGGGUGUGAAGAAGGCCUUUUGGUUGUAAAGCACUUUAAGCGAGGAGGAGGCUACCGAGAUUAAUACUCUUGGAUAGUGGACGUUACUCGCAGAAUAAGCACCGGCUAACUCUGUG